UGAAUGAUGUUAUGGGAUAGGUUGGCAUGUUUGGUUGAGGUCCGGAGGGCCUCGGGUGUAUUUCGGAUGCUCAAACGGGCACUUUUGGUCUUUGGGAGAUUGCUGGUUUUCUGGUGUUUUAGCAGCAGUGGUUUGUUCAUUGCGAUCGCGUGAGUUCAUCCGCCAUCACGUAGAGUGAGGAUUGAGGCAGGCAUAUUUGUUCUAUGCGAUCCCGUAAGAAGGUUUGCGAUCGCAUAGGUCAGUGGGUUGCAGCUUUGCGAUCGCGUGGGCAUGUGUGCAAUCGUAGGUCUUAUUAGCAAAUAUUAUUAUAUGAUCUGGAUGAUAAUCAAAUAGAGGAAGGCUAUUUGCUCACCUGUGUUUCUUACCCAACAUCAGAUUGUGUAAUUCAUACUCACAAGGAAUCUGAUCUUUACUAGUUAUUUUUAUGUCAAAUAAUGUGUAUGGUCUUGCUUAAGGUGAAGCGGUUGGGAAAUUGCUCCGUUCUUGAGAAUGGUCAGCUGUAGAGUUCAAUCAGGAACAUAUUGUGUUAAAAUGAUGUUUGUGUGAUGAAACCUUGUUUUAGCUCUUAUUGGUGAUAUAUGUUUCAGUUUGCUUAACAAUC